rnacentral:misc_RNA from 1 species
UAAUACUCGCAAUCCAAAUCCCUGUGGUUUGCUUUGCGGAUCUGGCCGUCCCGCUUAACGGCGGGUCGGCUGAAGAACAGAGGUUGAUACAUGGACCCGAAAUGGGCCUCAACUGGGUAGGCAAUUCGUUGCUAAAUGCUUUAGUUGAUGGCUUGUGGACUAUGUGUUGGCCCUAACCAGGAACAGAGCCUUGUGCUCUGAACUCAACCCAUUU